rnacentral:tRNA from 1 species
GGGCAUUUGGUCUAGUGGUAUGAUUCUCGCUUUGGGUGCGAGAGGUCUCUAGUUCGAUUCUCGGAAUGCCCC